rnacentral:tRNA from 1 species
GCGAAAAUAGUUUAAUGGUAGAACCUCAGCCUUCCAAGCUGAUAGUGCGAGUUCGAUUCUCGUUUUUCGCUCCA